rnacentral:rRNA from 1 species
UACAGAGGUCUCAAGCGUUGUUCGGAUUCAUUGGGCGUAAAGGGUGCGUAGGCGGCGCGGCAAGUCGGGUGUGAAAUUUCGAGGCUUAACUUCGAAACUGCAUUCGAUACUGCCGUGCUAGAGGACUGGAGAGGAGACUGGAAUUUACGGUGUAGCGGUGAAAUGCGUAGAUAUCGUAAGGAAGACCAGUGGCGAAGGCGGGUCUCUGGACAGUUCCUGACGCUGAGGCACGAAGGCCAGGGGAGCAAACGGG